rnacentral:rRNA from 1 species
UCGAGGAUCUUCGGCAAUGGGCGCAAGCCUGACCGAGCGACGCCGCGUGCGCGAUGAAGGCCUUCGGGUUGUAAAGCGCUGUCGAGGGGGAGGAAAGCCCGAAAGGGCCUGACCUAUCCCUGGAGGAAGCACGGGCUAAGUUCGUGCCAGCAGCCGCGGUAAGACGAACCGUGCGAACGUUGUUCGGAAUCACUGGGCUUAAAGGGCGCGUAGGCGGGUGCGUAAGUUCGGGGUGAAAGCCCCCGGCUCAACCGGGGAACAGCUUCGGAUACUGCGCAUCUGGAGGGGGAUAGGGGCAGACGGAACUUCCGGUGGAGCGGUGAAAUGCGUUGAUAUCGGAAGGAACGCCGGUGGCGAAAGCGGUCUGCUGGAUCCUUUCUGACGCUGAGGCGCGAAAGCCAGGGGAGCGAACGG